rnacentral:rRNA from 1 species
UACGGAGGGGGCUAGCGUUGUUCGGAAUUACUGGGCAUAAAGCGCACGUAGGCGGAUUGUUAAGUCGGGGGUGAAAUCCCGGGGCUCAACCCCGGAAUGGCCUCCGAUACUGGCAAUCUUGAGGUCGGGAGAGGUGAGUGGAAGGGCGAGUGUAGAGGUGAAAUUCGUAGAUAUUCGCCGGAACACCAGUGGCGAAGGCGGCUCACUGGACCGAUACUGACGCUGAGGUGCGACAGCGUGGGGAGCAAACAGG